rnacentral:rRNA from 1 species
UGGGGAAUUUUGGACAAUGGGCGAAAGCCUGAUCCAGCAAUGCCGCGUGUGUGAAGAAGGCCUUCGGGUUGUAAAGCACUUUUGUCCGGAAAGAAAUCCUCUGGGUUAAUACCUCGGGGGGAUGACGGUACCGGAAGAAUAAGCACCGGCUAACUACGUGCCAGCAGCCGCGGUAAUACGUAGGGUGCAAGCGUUAAUCGGAAUUACUGGGCGUAAAGCGUGCGCAGGCGGUUUUGUAAGACGGAUGUGAAAUCCCCGGGCUUAACCUGGGAACUGCAUUCGUGACUGCAAGGCUAGAGUAUGGCAGAGGGGGGUAGAAUUCCACGUGUAGCAGUGAAAUGCGUAGAGAUGUGGAGGAAUACCGAUGGCGAAGGCAGCCCCCUGGGCCAAUACUGACGCUCAUGCACGAAAGCGUGGGGAGCAAACAGGAUUAGAUACCCUGGUAGUCCACGCCCUAAACGAUGUCAACUAGUUGUUGGGGAUUCAUUUCCUUAGUAACGUAGCUAACGCGUGAAGUUGGCCGCCUGGGGAGUACGGUCGCAAGAUUGAAAACUCAAAUGAAUUGACGGGG